AGAAGAGACAUUCUGCUUAUAAAAAUACUAUUGAAUGUGUUACUGGAAUUGUGUCAAGAACCAUAUCAACUAAGGGCAUGUUGGAAAUAUACAGCUCUUUGUCUGAAGCUGACAAGAAGGAGUUUGAGACUGCAUAUAGUGCCUCCUAUUAUCCUUGCAUGGACAUCCUCUAUGAAUGCUAUGAGGAUGUAGCAAGCGGCAGUGAGAUCCGUAGCAUUGUUUUGGCUGGGCGGCGAUUUUAUGUAUGUUCUCCUAUCUGUUCCCAGUAUUUAAUAGUUUUUAGAAUGUGAUUCACAAUGUCUUGAGCUAUUAAGGUAUCCAUAUGAUUUAGUUUCUGUUUUGCGCCUCCAUCUAAUUCUGUACUCAACUUGAUAAGCACACAAUCCUUGAAUCUAAUGCAGAUAGGACUUUGCCCAGAAGCUGCAAAUCACUUGCAAGAAAUGAAGGACAUGCUAAUUGCCAUAUCAAAUGAACUGCUUGAUGAUGUCAAUGAACUUUGCCUUCUUUCCUUUGCAGCUGCAUUCAGGAAUGACCCCGUGAGAUUUGAUUCAGAGGUUCAUCUACAUAAUGAGGCAGGAGGAUAUGCAGAGUGGAAUUCAUCAUCAGUUUCAUCCUCUUCUACGGAUAAGUUUGGUUUCUCUUCUUUUCCUGUUGAGAGAGAACCUUACAUCCCAAAGUUUGUUGAAGUUAACUAUACUGAAGGUUCAAAUGACAAGAAGUGGAGGGAUGGUCCUUUCCCGUGGACUAAAGAACUGGAGGCUAAUAAUAAGAGAGUGUUUGGUAACCACUCUUUCCGCCUCAACCAAAGAGAGGUCAUUAAUGCUACAAUGAGUGGCCAUGAUGUUUUCGUUUUAAUGCCAAUUGGAGGGGGUAAGAGCCUGACAUAUCAGGUACUUGAAUCUUUUUCUCACGACUCUUUUGACUUGUUUCAGGCAAAUAUUCCUGCUGCUUACCUAAGUGCCAAUAUGGAGUGGAGUGAACAACAGGAGAUUCUUAGAGCAUCGAGUUCUGAAUAUUAUAAAUACAAGCUGUUAUAUGUCACCCCUGAAAAAGUUGCCAAAGUGAGCCUGAGUUAAAUGUUGACCAGUUGGAUAGUGCACUGAAAGACAAUGUGGCAGUUGAAACUGAUGCUCCUGCUGAAUAUAGUGAAAAGGAGGCAUUUGAUGAUCAUCAGUGCAAUGGUAAAGAACCAAUCAUCUGUCAGAGCUCUUUGAAAGAUGACUGUACAGAUAAAAGCAUAGAAAGCCUUGAUGAGGGAAAGACAGUAUUAAUGAAGGAAGCAAUUGGAGAAGAAGCAAAGGAUGCAUUGGUUUCAAUUUCGAAGACAUGCAAGCUUUUGAAGUCAAUCUCAAGGUUGAAAGCUUUUGAAAUAUUGUUAUUUGUUUUCGUCUGAGAGGGAAUUUGUUUUUUAUUCAUAUUGACUGAUUGAAUGUGAUGUGAAAUCAGAACCAGAAACCGGGGUUGUUGUUGUGGAUGAGGAUGGAAAACUAGAAGACAGAGUUGGAGUGGCCUUGAAAUGUCUUCCAAACUAUGAUCCUGCUACCUGUUUGUUCGAAACAGUUUAAAGCUGCAACGGAAUCACCCCCCUAUACAGAAAGUGUGUGCGUAG